UAAAUCAGUAUCUCUGAAUUACAGGAGAGGAAAAAAUAGACGAAAUACUGCUGUCGGUACCACGGUUGCUGGCUCUUGUUUAGCUUCUGAGUCAGCUGGGGCACCCCUGCCAUUCGCUCUCACUGUGGGGCUGGGUGUCCCUGCACUGUGGAACAAGGGCAGGUCGUGUCUUCCCAGAAGGCCCAGCACGGGUGAAGAUUCGGGGGCAGAUUUAUACCAACAUACACUGGCCUAUACAUUGGAUAUGUGCAGGUUCCCAUUCGUUUCCUGGGGAGCCAUGUGUCCCUGAGACCAGAGAGUCUCCUCACCUAGCUCAGACUUGAAUGCUUUUGUUUUUGUUUCAGGGCAUUUGCACGUCAAAGGCAAAGAAGAAAAAAUGUCCAAAUCAUUAAAAAACUACAUUACUAUUAAGGACUUUCUGAAGACCUUUUCUCCUGAUGUCUUCCGGUUCUUCUGCCUGCGGAGCAGCUACCGCUCAGCCAUCGACUACAGCGACAGCGCCAUGCUCCAAGCUCAGCAGCUGCUCCUGGGACUGGGCUCUUUCCUGGAGGACGCACGUGCCUAUAUGAAGGGGCAGCUGGCCUGCGGCUCCGUCAGGGAAGCGAUGCUGUGGGAGAGGCUCUCCAGCACCAAGAGGGCCGUGAAGGCGGCCUUGGCAGAUGACUUUGACACACCCAGGGUGGUUGAUGCUAUCCUGGGCCUUGCACACCACGGGAAUGGACAGCUCAGGGCGUCCCCGAAGAAGCCAGGAGAAAGGCCAGACCGAAGUGACCUGCUGAAGCCUUUGUCUUUUGACAUUGAAUUCGGUUUGCCCACUGCCAUCAAGACUGCUUUUAAGGAGCUUCCGCGGCAUGAUCUCUUACAGGAACCCGGAGGGCCGAGAAGUCCUGCUGUGUUUGGUGCCAUCAUCUCUUACUUUGAACAGUUUUUUGAAACUGUUGGAAUUUCUCUGGCAAAUCAACAGUUGGCAAACUCUUGUGCGCAGAACCAGAGAUGAGUCCAUCUCAGCAACAGUGUCGCCAGCUCUGCACACACAUUUAUGUUGAAAGACUCUCAGAAUGUGCAGAAGUCACAGGCACAUGCGUUUCAGGAGACGGCAGCGAGGCUACCUUGCAUGGUGUGGUGGACGAGCUGGUGCGGUUCCGGCAGAAGGUCCGGCAGUUUGUGCUGGCCAUGCCCGAGGCCACGGGGGACGCCCGGCGGCAGCAGCUCCUAGAAAGGCAGCCCCUGCUGGAGGCAUGCGACACCCUGCGCCGGGGCCUGACUGCCCACGGCAUCAACAUCAAGGACAGAAGCAGUACAACAUCCACGUGGGAACUGCUGGAUCAAAGGACAAAAAAACAAAAAUCAGCGGGCUGAGGAUGGAGCACAGCCACGAACCUGCUCACGACAAGACGCACCCAUGCUCCUCACAGUCAAGGCUUUAUGUUAAAGCUUCCUGUCGGGGCUGCUAGGUCAGCAUUAAAGUAAGGCAACCAACAGUG
rnacentral:sRNA from 1 species